AUCUGGCUGACGAGUCCCAAAUAGAACGAAACGCAAGUCCAGGAU
rnacentral:hammerhead_ribozyme from 1 species